UUCGCUUUGCUCUAGGGUCUGAGGAUAUCUCAACCACAUACAGACACAUUAGCACGUGCGUGUUACCAUCUGUUUCUGAGGCGAGCUUCGUGCGAGCACGCCGCGAGGAGAUGGCGUAGCCUUCUGAAGAGCACAUCAGAGAGAGCGAGAGUCUGAGUGCUGCCAUUUCUGGCUCUUUUGUCCUCGCGGAUCUAAAUCCACCUUCAUACAUCCAGCUGUGAAAACGGGGAAAAUUUGCUGCUGAAAACCAGUCAGAUGUUUUUUUGUUCCUCUGCUGCACAGAAACAGGCUGUGUGGGAUAAACUUGCAGUGUGUGGUCGCAUGAAAAAGGCUUCAUCAAACUGGGUCGACGCGACGCUUUCAUAAUAAGUUGAGAACAAGUUUGCGACUUCAUUAUCCUUGCAAAUCAGUUUGAUUUUGCUUUGUGCGAACCACUAUUCCGACGGAAACCCAGAAAAUCCUUUUCAGCCGCUACAAAGGAGGCCGCCGUGCAUUAAUUGAAGUCACAGGUGGACACCGGCGAUCAGCGGGACGGUGAGAACGCGACGCGAUGGCAUUAUUAGCAUGACAUUGAGCUUUGGAAGCUGAUCUGUUUGAGCAGAACGGACAGGUGAGGAGGUGAGAGAGCUGGACGGAGUGAAGAAAUAAAGCGCCGCUGCAUCACCCUGUAGGCGUUUCAUUACACGUAAAAACACACCAAAGAACGACGUGAGGUUCUUCAGCCGACGCAAAACUGAAUCCGAAAAGGAAUAACACACUUCAGGAUGUGCGGUUAUUUGGAAAGAAUCAACUUCACAGAGGCUUGCUUUCAUGCUGCUGAUGAGAAUGCAACCCUGCGAAUCAGGAUGAAUAAAUAAAGAACAGCAGUGAUGGAUGUGGAGAAAGUGAUGGCUCGGUUGUGGCGUUGGUUUAUUUCACAAAGUAAAAUAUUGAGGAUGGACAAAGAAGGAAGUCAUCUGUCGAGUUCGCUCUCAAAUGCGCUCGGGCUGCUGCUUUUACGGCCGAGAAAUAACACGGAAAAACAAAGGACCCGGAAAUUGGACUGAGG
ensembl:lncRNA